CCUGCCUCCAGAUUACAGUACUUCGCCAGAGGGCUGCAGGUGUACAUUCGCCAGCUGCGAGUUGCCCUGCAAGGCAAGACUGAGACGCACUGAAGACCGAAGAGAACAAGAUCAAAGUGGUGGCUCUGAAGAUCACCAACAACAUCAACGUUCUGAUCAAGGAUCUCUUCCACAACCCACCGUCGUACAAGAGCAGUGUCACGCUGUCCUGGAAGCCUGUCCAGAAGGCUGAGACUGUAGCUCUGAAGCGCCCGUCCGGGGAGGAUAUGGGUGCAGGCAGUACCAUGAAGAAGCAGCUGUCCCCCCCCCUGCCCCGGAGGGAUGCACGGCAGAUCUACAACCCCCCCAGUGGCAAGUACAGCGCCACCAUCGGCAACUUCUCUAACGAGCAGCGUGGAGGCUUCAGGGGCGGCCGGGGGAGAGGAUUCGGAGGCAGGGGUCGAGGCCGAAUCUACUGAGUCCACCAUCACACACACACACACACUACACACACUGAACUGCAGCACAUCAGGAUCCCUGCCGUAACCAAGGGGGUCUCCAUGACCACCGCUCCUCAACCUGUGUCCACUUGUUCUUUUUCCUCCGCCUCCAAACACCUGUGCAAAGGAAGUUGUUGUUUUUUUGGUCGUUUCCUGCCCUCAGAGUAAAUCCACUUCAAGGAGACUGGGAUUUGGACUUUCCUACCUGACAUUUCCACCCUCACACUCUUGCCUGGUGAAGCGAUUGUUCAAGUAGAUCCUUGUGGUUUUAGUUUUUUAUUAGUAUUUUUGUGGAACCAGAGACUGACAAGUUGUACCUGAUUUGAUAUUUUUGUCAGAAGAAAAAAAAAGUUUUAUAAACUGUUGACAAAUGCAUUCUCUUUUUAUUUCUUUAAAAAAAAAUCGAGCUUGGAUUUGGAUUGGCCUUCUCUCUUCGCUACUUUGUAUGAAUCCAAAUUUUUUCAUCUGAAUUUUUUUUUUUAUCAAACUUGUAUUGAUGUCUCCACCACCAUGCCCUUUUGUUUGUGUAAAACCUUGUUAAAAUAAGACAAUUACAUUGAAAACCAAUGUAUUCUGAAUUUUUAGGUAGUAGGAAAAACUAGAUUAUUUCCUCUGCAAACAGGCUGUGUGACGCCGAAUAGAUGAUUAUUAAAGUAAUUUUGUUUUAUUGGACAUUGGGUGUCUUUUGAAUCAGUCAAGGCAGAUUUAGGACUUGGGAGUUCAAUUUUAAUUAACUCCCAAGUAGCUUUUCUACUAAAUUUAAAUGAGUUUAGAGUCUCAAUUUGAGUUUUCCAUUCAUGUUUUGCAUGCUUUUAUUUUUAUUAAAUAUUUCUCCCCAUGUUAUUUAAAAACUUUUGGAUUAAAAAAAGGAAAUCAAAUCUGA